rnacentral:rRNA from 1 species
GAUGAACGCUAGCGAUAGGCCUAACACAUGCAAGUCGAGGGGCAUCACAUGAAGUAGCAAUACGGAUGGUGGCGACCGGCGCACGGGUGAGUAACACGUAUGCAACCUGCCUUCAACAAGGGGAUAACCCGUUGAAAGACGGACUAAUACCCUAUAACACAGGGGUCCCGCAUGGGGAUAUUUGUUAAAGGACAACCGGUUGAAGAUGGGCAUGCGUUCCAUUAGCUAGUUGGCGGGUAAGGCCCACAAGGCAACGAUGGAUAGGGGAACUGAGAGGUUUAUCCCCCACACUGGUACUGAGACACGGACCAGACUCCUACGGGAGGCAGCAGUGAGGAAUAUUGGUCAAUGGACGCAAGUCUGAACCAGCCACGUCGCGUGAAGGAAGACGGCCCUACGGGUUGUAAACUUCUUUUGCAAGGGAAUAAGUGGGCCACGUGUGCCUUUUGCAAGUACCUUGCGAAUAAGGAUCGGCUAACUCCGUGCCAGCAGCCGCGGUAAAUACUGACUC